rnacentral:rRNA from 1 species
UACGAAGGGGGCUAGCGUUGCUCGGAAUCACUGGGCGUAAAGGGUGCGUAGGCGGGUCUUUAAGUCAGGGGUGAAAUCCUGGAGCUCAACUCCAGAACUGCCUUUGAUACUGAAGAUCUUGAGUUCGGGAGAGGUGAGUGGAACUGCGAGUGUAGAGGUGAAAUUCGUAGAUAUCGCAAGAACACCAGUGGCGAAGGCGGCUCACUGGCCCGAUACUGACGCUGAGGCACGGAAAGCGUGGGAGCAAACAGGG